GACGAACCGUGCGAACGUUGUUCGGAAUCACUGGGCUUAAAGGGCGCGUAGGCGGGCUGCCGCGUCCGGGGUGAAAUCCCACGGCUCAACCGUGGAACGGCCUCGGAUACGGGCGGUCUCGAGGGAGGUAGGGGCACGCGGAACUGUGGGUGGAGCGGUGAAAUGCGUUGAUAUCCACAGGAACUCCGGUGGCGAAGGCACUUUACUGGGCUAUUACUAACACUCAGAGACGAAAGCUAGGGUAGCAAAUGGG
rnacentral:rRNA from 1 species